GCAUUCAGUCAGAUUCUUGUCUAUAUUACAGGCUUUGGGACAAGGGACACCUAUGGGAAGUGGGGUGUGGGGAGUUCUGUGGACAAGGUGAGAGGUUCAGUAAACAUUUAUGGCUUUUAUUAGGAAUUUAUUUCAGAAACCUGGGAACCUCCAUGUGCUGCAGGAGUGGCCCUAGAAAUGACAGGGAAAAAAAAAAGGAGAUUAGCAUUGUUUCUCUGUCUUGGCUAUUGUGACUAGUGUGCUACAAUGAACAUGCGGGUGCAUGUGUCUUUUUCAAGGAAAGUUUUGACCAGAUAUAUGUCCAAGAGUGGGAAUGCUGGGUCAUAUAUGGUAGUUCCAUGUAUAGUUUUCUAAGGUACCUCCACACUGUUCUCCAUAGUGGUUGUACCAGCUUACAUUCCCACCAGAAGUACAGGAGGGUUCCCUUUUUCUCCACACUCCCUCUGUACAGUAGAAAAUUGACAGAACACUGUAAAACCAGCCAUAAUAGAAAAAAAUAAAAAUUGUUGUAUAAAAAAAAUGAUUAAAAAAUUUGAAGGGGGAAUUAAAACAUUCCCAGAUAAAAAUUGGGACAGUUUGUCAGUAGGACAUGUGACCUACAUUUAAAAAAGGAAGAAAGAAAUCAACAGCCUAACCCCUACCUUAAGUAACUAGAAAAAGAGGAGCAAACUAACCCCAAAGCAAGCAGAAUGAAGGAAAAAUGAAGAUUAAACUGCCUAGAAAUUAAACAGACAAUAGAAAACAAUGAGAAAAUCAACAAUACCAAAAUUUUGUUAUUUGAGAUCAACAAAAUUGAGAAAGCUUUACUAAACACCAAGAAAAAGAGAAUUGAAUAAAAUCAGGAAUGGAUGAAGAGACAUUACUACCAGUUUUAUAGAAAUAAAGUGUUGUAAGAGAAUUUAAUGAUUCAGCAAAUUGGAAAACAUGAAAUGGACAGAUGUCUAGAAACACAAGUACCAAAACUGCCUCAAAAAAACAGAAAAUAUAAUAAACUUAAAACCAAUGGAUUGAGUUAGCAAUCAGAAACUUCCAAUGAAGAAAUGGCCCAGCACUGGAUGAUUUCAUUAAUGAAGCCUGCUGAACAUUUAAUUCAAAUAAGAAUUAGCAUCAUUACAUCUCAAAAUCCUUCAAAAAAUUGAAGAGGAAAGAGCACUUCAAAACUUGUACUGUGAGGCCAGCAUUACUUUGAUAACAAAACCAAACACAUCAUAAGAAGAAAGAACUGAGGCUAAUUCCUUUUAUGAAUGUGUAUGUAAAAAUUCUCAACAGAAUUCUAGAAAACUGAAUCCAGCACUAGAAGGGCUGAGCACCACAACUAACCCUAAUUUAUCCCAAGAAUGUGGUUGGCUGAACAUACCAAAUUAAUCAAUGUAAUAUGCAAUAUUAUAGAAUGAAGGAAAAGAACCUGAAUCAUCAUUUCCAUCGAUGCACAAGAGGCAUUUGACCAAAUCCAACGUGAUAAAAAUGAUAAAAAUAUUCAACAAACUAGAAAUAUAAAAGAACUUCCCCAACCUGGCAAAGGGUAUCUGUGGAAAAACUCAGAUUUAACAUCAUACUGGCUGAAAGCUUUCCUUCUAAGACCAGAAACGGGACGUGGAUGUCUGCUCUCGCCACUUCUUUUCAACAUAGUACUGGAAAUUUUAGCCAGGAAAAAUAGGCCAAAAUUUUUUUUGUUAAAAAACAUCUAGAUUAGAAGGGGAAAUUUAAAACUAUCUAUAUUAACAGAUGACAUAAUCUUAUACACGUAAAACCAUAGUGAAUACACACAUGUGCAGUUAGACCUAAUAGAUUAGUUUGGCAGUGUUGCAGGAUACAAGAUCAGUAAACAGAAAUAAGUUAUUUCUCUAUACACGUGCAUUGAACAAUCCAAGCAUGAUAUGUAAAAACAAUCACACUUAAAAUAACAUCAAAGAUAAAUACUUAGAAAUAAAGUCAACCAAGGAAGUUGAAAUUCUUAGUAUAAAAGUACAAAAGAAUUUUGAAAUACAUUAAAGCUAUCCUGUUUUCUUGGAUUGUUCCAGUAGUAAUACUCCUCAGAUUGAUCUGUAAACUCAGCACGAUCCCUAUCAAAUUCCAGCUUUUUUUUCAGAAAUGGAUAAGUUGAUACUGAAAUUCAUAUGGUAAUAUCAAUGACACUGCACAGCCAAAACAUUUUUUGACCAAGAAGAACAAAGUUGGAAGAACUCGCACCUUCCAAUUUCAAAACUUACUGCGAACCUACAGUCAUAAAAACAGGGUGAUACUGGCAUAAGGAUAGGUACAUAGACCAAUGAAAUAGAAUUGAAGGCCUAGAAAGAAAUUCAUAUGUGUAUGGUCAGUUGUUUUUAAUAAGGAUAUCAGGACUAUUUAAUGAGGAAAGAACUAACUGAACAAUUGUUGCUGGGGUAGCUGGAUAGCCACAUGCAAAAGAAUGAAAUUGGACCCUUACCUCAUACUGUAUACAAAAACAUGCAUCAAAGAUUUAAAUGUAAGAGAUAAAACCAUAAAACUCUCAGGAAAGAAACAUGUAUAAAGCUCAUGACUUUGGAUUAGGCAGUGGUUUCUUAACUACAACUCCACAAACGUACAGGCAACAACAACAACAAAUUAAUAUUUGUCAAAAUUAAAAACUUUUUUGCAUCAAAAAACACGAUCAAGAAAGUGAAAAGCAGAAUUCCCAUCGUGGCUCAGUGUUCAAUCCCUGGCCUCACUCAGUGGGUUAAAGAUCUGGCAUUGCCAUGAGCUGUGGUGCAGUUCACAAAUGCGGCUCGAGUCUGGCAUAGCCGUGGCUGUGGCAUAGGCUGGCAGCUCUAGGUCUGAUUUGACCCCUAGCUUGGGAAUGUCCAUAUGCCAUGGGUGCAGCCCUUGAAAGAAAGGAAGGAAGGAAGAAGAGGAAGGAAGGAAAGAAAGAAAGGAAGAAAGGAAAGGAAGGAAGGGAAGGGAAGGGAAGGAAAGAAAGAAAGGGAAGGAAGGAAAGAAA
rnacentral:lncRNA from 1 species